AUUGAACGCUGGCGGCAGGCCUAACACAUGCAAGUCGAGCGGAGCGGCGGACGGGCGAGUAAUGCCUAGGAAUCUGCCUGGUAGUGGGGGAUAACGUCCGGAAACGGGCGCUAAUACCGCAUACUAUCAGAUGAGCCCAGGUCGGAUUAGCUAUUUGGUGGGGUAAAGGCCUACCAAGGCGAUGAUCCAUCGCUGGUCUGAGUGGAUGAUCAGUCACUCUGGAACUGGGACACGGUCCAAACUCCUACGGGAGGCAGCAUUGGGGAAGAUUGGACAAUGAGCGGGAGCCUGAUCCAGCCAUGCGGCGUGUGUGAAGAAGGUCUUCGGAUUGUAAAGCACUUUAAGUUGGGAGGCGUUACCAACAGAAUAAGGACCGGCUAGCUUCGUGCCAGCGGCCGCGGUAAUAC
rnacentral:rRNA from 1 species